CUGUGGAUAACUUCGGGAAACCGGAGCUAAUACCGGAUAACAUUUGGAACCGCAUGGUUCUAAAGUGAAAGAUGGUUUUGCUAUCACUUAUAGAUGGACCCGCGCCGUAUUAGCUAGUUGGUAAGGUAACGGCUUACCAAGGCGACGAUACGUAGCCGACCUGAGAGGGUGAUCGGCCACACUGGAACUGAGACACGGUCCAG
rnacentral:rRNA from 1 species